rnacentral:rRNA from 1 species
AGCGAACGCUGGCGGCAGGCCUAACACAUGCAAGUCGAACGAACCUUUCGGGGUUAGUGGCGGACGGGUGAGUAACACGUGGGAACGUGCCUUUAGGUUUGGAAUAACUCAGGGAAACUUGUGCUAAUACCGAAUGUGCCCUUCGGGGGAAAGAUUUAUCGCCUUUAGAGCGGCCCGCGUCUGAUUAGCUAGUUGGUUGAGGUAAUGGCGCACCAAGGCGACGAUCAGUAGCUGGUCUGAGAGGAUGAUCAGCCACAUUGGGACUGCGACACGGCCCAAACUCCUACGGGAGGCAGCAGUGGGGAAUCUUGCGCAAUGGGCGAAAGCCUGACGCAGCCAUGCCGCGUGAAUGAUGAAGGUCUUAGGAUUGUAAAAUUCUUUCACCGGGGACGAUAAUGACGGUACCCGGAGAAGAAGCCCCGGCUAACUUCGUG